AACACAAACCCCGGCGCUGAAUGCGUCAAGGAAUUUAAAAUUUGUUCUGAGCGCACCUGCAUGCCACCGGAGACGGUUUUCGUGCGGGUUGUGUUCCGACCCUAAUAUAGAAUGACUCUCGGCAACGGAUAUCUAGGCUCUUGCAUCGAUGAAGAACGUAGCGAAAUGCGAUACUUGGUGUGAAUUGCAGAAUCCCGUGAACCAUCGAGUCUUUGAACGCAAGUUGCGCCUGAUGCCAUUAGGUUGAGGGCACGUCUGCCUGGGCGUCACAUAUCGAAGCCUCUUGCCAAUUUCCUAUUGAUUGGUAUUGUGCAAGAUGAUGUUGGCCUCCCGUGAGCACCAUCGCCUCAUGGUUGGUUGAAAAUCGAGACCUUGGUAGAGUGUGCCAUGAUAAAUGGUGCAUGUGUUAAGCACGAGACCAAACAAUCAUGUGCUGCUCUAUUGAAUUUAGCCUCUUUUACCCACAUGCGUGUCUAAACGCUCGUGAUGAGACCUCAGGUCAGGCGGGGCUACCCGCUGAAUUUAAGCAUAUCAAUAAGCGGAGGAAAAGAAACUAACAAGGAUUCC
rnacentral:rRNA from 2 species